AAGAAAGGGCCACCACAAAAAAGAAGAAAAAAUCAAAAAAGAAGAAUCAAAAUUCCUCUCUCUCUCCCGCUCCUCUCUCUUCUUCUUCUCUCUCUUCUUCUCUUUAU
rnacentral:ribozyme from 13 species